CGAAAAUGUACUAGUCGUCGUCUCUCGUAGCUCUUGCUGGUGUUCAGUGUUCACCACAGAUUUUAGUUCUGAGCCAGCCAUCUCUAUCAACAUCAAGUUUUGCACUUCAACAUUCAACCCAUCAUCAGCAGCUCAGCAGCAGUGUCAGCUUCAUCAGCUUCACCAAUCGGGUAAACAGCCACCUGUUUGAUAGGAGAAUGCACAUGAUUCAUCUCUUCUUCCCCCUUCUUUUUCUCUUUGUCCUCGUGUACAC